UACGUAGGGUCCGAGCGUUGUCCGGAUUUAUUGGGCGUAAAGAGCUCGUAGGCGGCUCGGUAAGUCGGAUGUGAAACCUCCAGGCUCAACCUGGAGUCGCCAUCCGAUACUGCUGUGGCUUGAGUCCGGUAGGGGAGCAUGGAAUUCCUGGUGUAGCGGUGAAAUGCGCAGAUAUCUGGAGGAACACCGGUGGCGAAGGCGGCAUCCUGGACCGGUAUUGACGCUGAGGCGCGAAAGCCAGGGGAGCAAACGGG
rnacentral:rRNA from 1 species